rnacentral:lncRNA from 1 species
CAUCUUAAUUAGUUAGUCUUCUCAUACUUGAAACAAAUCCGUCGGAAUAAUCUAAUAAGUCCAGAUUUUCUCAAAGGUCUUUUGCUUUUCCCAAUUCUUAGUUAUGCAAAAUUGUACAGGUUCCACGGUAAUAAUUAUUGAAAAUCUUUCUUAAGAACACAAAUAUAGUAAUAUUGGAAGUGUCUUAAGUAGAACUAGUUAGUGUUUUAUGUGCCAAUCUUUCAUACAAAGAUGGUACGAAAAGCAAACUUUGAUAAUUACGCAAUCAUAGCUUCUCCUCCACAAGGUUGUGAAUACAUCUUACGUAGAAAUCCUUGCAGAUGCAUAUUCAAAUAUAAAAAGCCUCGAGAUGGUUCCAUAUUCAACACUGUUAAUGUGCUGUUGCUUAUAUUGAUAAAUUUAGAGUUAAUAGUAGCAUUAAAGACGACGAAAGAAAUAUUGUGGUAAUACCUCUGGAUGCCAUUGGAAGGCAGUCACAGGAUAGUUGUAUGCGUGUACUGUGGACACAUAGACCUGGCAUUAGUGUUACUGCAACAGUUAGAAUCUUCAGGGGAAUAAAAUGAAUUGGGGAACUUGAAUAGAGAGAUGUUUCAUGACAUGGUGAAACCACAUAACCAAACGAGAUAGUUACAUUCAGUACCUUAUCAUCUUCAUCAGUACAAGUUGUCAAGAUCUUAAAGAAACUUGACAGGUUCUCGUUCUCCAUAAGCCUCUCUGGUGAGAUACCAUACUGUUGCGUUGAAUCAUUACAAACUUAUGUUAGAAAACCUAAACCAUGCUUUCUAAGCAUAAGUAUAACCAUAUGGAUAAGAACAGCAGAAAAACAAAAUGCACGGUACAAGAAGCAUAAAUCAACAGAAAGAACGAAAAUCAUAAUAACUCAUAAUCCAAGAUAUUCUCAAAACACAGCCAUUUGUCUCAUCAAUCUUGUCGAUGACUGGACAAACUCAGAAUCAUAAUGAAACAAUCUAAACUUCUCAACUGAAGCUAAUUAUAUAUGUUUUGAAGUGGUUUUGCCUUUGCUAAAUGAAAAAACAAACUGAACAAUUAUAAGAUUUGACCAAGUAAAUGGUUUUCGAUUUGAUAAUUCAGGAUCAAUCCAUGCAUAAAUGAUAUAUUUGAUAACUAUGUCUAGCUUCAAGGAAAGAACCUUUAGAUUAGAACUCACUUUAUGGUUUUGCAUUACAAGACAAUCUGUACUCAACUUCUUAAGCAAGUCCGGAGGAAAUCUGCAAAAGUAAAAAAUUAAUUUAUUGGCUGAAGAAGUUAAAUCACCCUGGAUGUACAGUAACAUAAAAGAAACUUCCAUGCUAAUUCAUAGAACAUCAACCCUCCUCCUUAAUAAUCAGAACGAAGGUCAUAAAGAUCAGACAAGGAUGAUGUCUAGCAUGCUCUAUUGACGUCUACACCGCUUAACCCUACUGAUUAGGCCGAAGUACAUAAAUUUCUCGUGUUCAGUCCUAUUUAAGGGAAUGUUCCUCUCUAAAAUCUGUGACAAGCAUGCUAGCUGCAGGGAAGCUAGCUUGAAUGAUGGUUGGGUUUUUCAUAAAGAUAGAUAUUUAAUUUUAUAAGAAUCAAACAAAAAAUUACAGAAGAGAGAUUAGAACACCCCCCCCCCCCCGGAAAAAAAAAAAAUUUAAGAUAACUUCUAGAGGCCCUACAGUUAAUACAUUUCGGUUAUAGGCGUAUAAAUCAAUAGCAUUUCAAGAAUUCGCAUACUCAUAGACAUCCUCACAGUUUGUUUUGACUAAGGAUCUAAGAUCGGUAAUCAAUGCACAACAUGUUUGAAGAAAAAGUUUCAAAGUAAAAUUAUUUUGCAUAAGACUAGAACAAUGACAUACAAAUUGAGUCAGGAAAACCACAUUCCAAGAUUUAUACCUUUGAAAAACAGUUCCUUCAAUAACGGCGUUCUCGGUAAAUUGUAAAGUUGAGGCCACAUCUACUGCACUGAAUGUCUCCAGAAUUUUCUUGUUCUAGAAGGAAGAAAGAAAGUUGUGGAAAUCAUAAAAUUGUGAAAAAUAUAUUAAGAAUGAUGCAUCAAUAAGGAUAAAAAAAAAUAAACUCGACGACUUAAAAGUAGACUACAACUAAUUGACAUGACUAAGGUGAUUCAGAUUGAAAGGAAUACUGUGACAAUUCUAAUAAAAGAAAUUGAACUGCAAUUGCAUAUUUCAAUGUUGGAUGUCAAGUUGUAAAUGGAUGCACCCUCACUAAAGACUAUUCUUUUCAUAGUCUCAAGUUGUAUGCCCACUAAAGAAACCAAGAAAGGCCAUUCUCAAACGAAGAAACAAGGCACUUGGUAAAAUAGUUUUGAAUUGCAAUUGUCGCCCUAAAAAACAGAUGUGCUGGUUUUGCUUCUUUUAGAAAUUGAAUCAUUUAAAGCGCCAUCACCCAUCAGAAUGUACAAAUUUGAUCAUUUACAGUGGCUACUUAAGCAUUUAUGCAUUCAAAUACUUAGGCAUUUAUGCAUUAAAAAAGGUGAAAGAAAUGCAAUUUGAAUGACGAGGCUGAAUUCUUAUGGAAAAACAGUGUACUUUGAGAAGGAUAGUUUACCUUGCUGAUGAUCAUUGUUAGAAGUUCAAAACCUAAGCAGGUGGCGUAUAAUGGAAAAUGAUCUCCAGCGUCAUUCUUCUCUAUAAUUUUCUGCAGAAAACAGAUACAAACGUCGCUAAUAAAUAUGGAAUGGAACUAUGGACGAAUUCUUAAGAAAAGCAAUGAAACUAAAUUCUUAAGAGAAGCAAUGAAACUAUCCUAAAAGAAUUUCAAUUUACUGGAAAUCUUUAUGAUGCAGAGAGCCCUGAAGCAUCUAAGGUUAGCCAACGAUGACAACAAUGUCAUGGUUCUAAAUCUAAUGCAAAAAAUCGAACUUUGACUCUAAACCCCUAUUUAGUGGUUAGGCUGACCAUUCUAUCUAACCAGUAUCUAUCAAAUUUUCUUUCGUCUAGUGUUGGCUGGCAAACAGAGAAUGAUCCUUCAUGCUGAUGAUCAUAGGCAAUGACAUGAUAUUGGGCUUGGUAUGAUGUCAAUUUUGACCUCUAAAAACCUAAACCCUAUUAAGAAUCAUGAUUCUUAUGCUGCCAAGUCCCGCCAAUACUAAACUGAUCGAGUAACGAUUUAGAUCAAUUUAAGUUUGAACGAAAGAUCGGAGUUCUUUUUCAUAAAACUGAGUCCAGACAAGCAACUAAAGCACAUCAAGGGGUUGUGGCAUGUUCUACAAUGACCAAUUUUCUAUGUAGAAAAUAGAGUCUUCUGCUUGUUUAGCAGAAACUUGACUCCGUAGUAUAUAAAAGUUAGAUUUAAAUGGUCUGCCUGGCAAACCAGGACUAUAAUGUUAGUGUAGAUCAUGCACUAAAGGGUUACUAUAUCAAGCACUAAAUUACCUUAAAUAUUCUCUCGGCAACGUCAUAGUACAAACCACUUUUAGCCCAUCCUCCAGUGAAAAGCACGCCAUUGACGAGGUCGAGCUUCUGCAAAGCAGCAUUAUAUAGUGAGCAACAUAACAAAAUCACUGCGACAGGCCGGCUUAGUUUAUAUAUGCACACAUAUUGAAACUUAUAUAAAUGAACAGCCAGUAUUCACACCAACUUCAAUUUUUGAUUCUUAGCCCAAAAAAUAAACGAAAGCUUUCGAAUUUCGAUUAGAAAGGCCAAUACAAAAACUGGGUCGUUUAUAUAAAUGUGGUUUCUCCAGCUAAAACAAAAGAGCCUAUACAAAUAUCAUAUGCCAAUUUUAAGCACCUCUUCUGAGUAAAGUUAACUCAACCCAUGAUGUGCUUCUUUGAAAAGCAGCUUUAACGUAAGCAACACAGAAGCAACUUCUAUAAAAAGCUCAAUUUGUUAUGGUGAUCACCUGGAAAAGUAUAUCGGGAGGCUCGUUGUAGAUGAGAGGAAUAACACGAGCUCCAGCCGAUUCAACGAACUUGACGUAAGAAGCUGCGAUAUACGACGCCGUGGAGGCGUUGCUCAGCCGGCCGGAAGCGCCGUCGCCAGGGUGGCUCAGGAUACCGAUCACCGGCCUGUAGUUGAUCUUGGGGUCGGGGGCCGUACACUUGGACGAGGACGAGUCCGAUGUUCGGAGUUGACUCGGCAAGAGAAUCGGCGCCUGGGCUUUGGCCAAGGGCAGCUCUUUGGACAAGGAGAUUAGGAAAGGAAUCCAGAGGUAGCUCCACAUCUCUGCCCUGCCGGUGUGGUUUUUGGUGAGACGGCAGCGGUUUGGACGUCGGAGGGGUCGGGUGUUGGGGUGGACGUGGAAUGAGUGAGGAAGCUGGAGGGCAUUUAGGGGAAGAACUGCCUAGGAAGUGUUUUAGUAGCAAUCUGGAUAAGAGGAGGAAGGGGAGGAAGGUGGUAUGACAUUGACUGGUGAUUGUUACGUGAAAGGAAGCCAACAAAAACGUUGUCAUGUCUUACACUUAAUUUUUUCUUUACUUCGAACUAAUUCAAAUUAUAAAGAGUAUUCGAACUUUGAGGGUAUAUGAAUAACAUAUCCAUUUUGGCUAGUUUGGUUAAAUUAAACUCACAUUUGAAUGUAAUACUUGAUCAUUUUUCCCUUAUUAUUCUUUGGUUUAGAAGUGGGAACAAUUAAGUUCGAUUUGAUUCCUCGUAAACUUGAAAACUACAUUGUUAAAUAUGUUUGGUUUGGUUAUGCUUAGUUUAGUCUGGUUUCAUUCAAGAUUUUCACGUAAGCAAAAUAAGACAAAAGUAUUUACAACAAAAACUUUCCUUUCUCUCUUCCUGAGAGACCUUCCCUCUGUGUGAGGGUUAAUAUCACCGAUCUGUGUGAGUGGUUCCCAAUCGAGUCCAAUUCCGGUGCCGCCUAGGAUCGGUGGGUUUUCUUUUGUUUCUUUCUCCAUCUCUUUCUCCUCUUCCAUCCGCUGUUUUCUUCCCUGAUUUUCUUGGUUGAUUUGCCUUCUUCUCUCCCCUUCGCUGUCUCUCAUCCAUAUUCAUCCAAUUUUCAAGCUUCAGUCACCUUUUGCCGCGAUUUGUUGUGGUGUUUCGAGUUGGUGUGCUUUGAUCUGGUGCUUGCACUGGGUCAGGUGUUCCUUGCACCCCACCUUCUCUUUGUUGUCUGUCCUUGUUGGCAGUGUUGCUCGUGGACUGCCAUGAGCUUCUUUCACUUGUCUGCAGGUUCUCUGGUGUUUGUAGCUGGGCUUGGAGUGAAGCUUGGAAUUGGCCGUUGGUAUCAGACAGGGCCCCAAAUUCAAUCAAACAACAUCAUCAAGCUAAACCCAUAAAAGCCUACUACUCAAAGAGAGCCUAACUUCGUUAGAAACCCUAAUUCGAAGAUGCUCUUAAAGAGCCUAAUUUGGCCAUCUAAUCAUCAAUAAUUUGGAGUCAUUUAUUACUGGAUUUGACAUCAAUAGUAGAGAAUAAACAAAUUUUCCUUUAAUAUUUCGGAGGAUGAAUCUGCGGAGAUGUUUGAGUGGUGAAUUGAUUAAAUUAUUAAGUUUUGUAGUUUGAUUUUUUUUUUUAGUCAAAGGUUACUAUUGUGAACACGAAAAUUUUCUGAAACGAAAGAGACAAGAACAACGUGCACAAAAUAAUAUUUGUAUUUUUGAUGAUUUUGGGUUACAAUCUCUCUCAAAUUUGAUCAUCUGAUUCGAUCUCCGUAAGGUAUUGAUUUGUGGAUGUUUCGUUGAUCCAAGGGCCAUCGAGGCUUGAUCUUGGAUGAACUGUUGGAAGUUUCUUCAAGGGGCCGUGGGCUUGAUCUUUGAAGGUGGAUUUGAGCGGAUCUUCAAGGAGCCGUUGGGGCUUGAUCUUGAGGAUGAGUGUUUCUUCAAGGGCCGUUGAGGCUUGAUCUUGAAUAAUGGUGAUGAACGGGUCUUCAAGGGCUUUUGGGCUUGAUCUUGAAGAACAGUGAUGAACGGAUCUUCAAGGGCUUUUGGGCUUAAUCUUGAAGAACGGUUGGAUGUGUGGAUUUGUCAACGUUGUUGAUCCAAAGGGCCGUUGGGGCUUGAUCUUGGAUGAACGGAUGAUGAACGAUGGUGCUUUCUUCAAGGGCCGUCGGGGCUUGAUCUUGAAUUGGUGGAAGUUCUUCAAGGGGGCCUUUGGGGCUUGAUCUUGGAAGAACGAUGAACGAAGAACGAAGAACACUUUCUUCAAGGGCCGUCGGGGCUUGAUCUUGAAUUGGUGGAUGAUUGUUAAUCCAAGGGCCGUCGGGGCUUGAUCUUGGAGAACGAUGAACGAAGAACGAAGAACGCUUUCUUGAUUCUUCAGGAACCUGGAUGCUUGAGAGCUUCGGAGUUUCAGAGCUUCAGAGCUUCAAGAAUUUUGCCUAAUGAUUUUGGUUCCUCUCAAAUGAAUGAAAUUGGCUUCUAUUUAUAGAAUUUUCUAAGGCCUAAUUUUGAAUAUAAUAUUCCAGAUGAAAUAAGUCGUUUCUGCCAGGUGUUGACACGUGUCCUGUUUGAUGACUUUUCCGAUGAUUCUCGAUUUUUUGUUUAGACACACGCUACGUGUAAAAUUUAUGUAAUACAUGAACGCUGAAACUUUGAUUUAUCGGUCAACAUUUAUUUACUGAAAUUUCAAUGUCUACAACUAUAUUACCACAACACAAUUAAUUACACAAAUUGAGGUCCAUAUACAAGAAAAAAAUAGACCUCAAUAGUAACCCAAAUACCCAAAACAAAAAAAACACAGAAGUUAACCCUAACUGCUUUCCUUUAACGGCAUCGUCGAAUGCACCGAUCGCGACGAUCAGGAGCCUACACCACCAACUUUCGCCAAGAACCCACAUCUCAAAGAUGGAAAUAAGAUGAAUUUCGCCUUCCAACAUAUACCAUCUCACUGAUCGUAGCCAUUGAUUGAGAGAAACCAAAGAAGCCCGUGGGAUCGCCACGGACAACAUUGCCAGAAAUGGUAGACAAAGAGAAGAAGGUGGUGUUGCCACCCAAGCUGGUGAAAACUCCGGAUCUCUACGCACCUUCUCAGUUGAAGACCGCAUCACUUCACGGUUAAAAUUGAUUACAAAUUGGAAUGGAGAUUGAGUUGGUGAAAGCCAAAAUAAGAACAUGUCUAUGGAUGGAUGGAAGAUCUGAUAUGAGGGCAACAGAUGUACCUGUGAAAAUCGAGGUGAAUAUGGAAAUCAAAAUAGGAAGGAAAGCAAGAAAAACACCAGAAGUAGAAGAAAGAGGAAACAAAGGAAGAAGGAAGGGCUGCCACCGACCCUAAUCAGAAUUAGGGCCGGCAACAAAGGAAAAUCUCAAGUGUUGCUGCUGCUCUCACUCAUGGAGAGAAUUAUAAUUUUAGGUUAAAACCCUUCAAAUUCGGAUCGUGUUCACCCCUAAACCCAAACAAGAAUAAAUAGAACACAAUUAUAAAUUCAUUAUAUGUUUCAGUUACUGAAAGUCAUUUUAAUAUUAAAUUACAACACGAGGUAUAAAUUAUGUAUAUUGUAAUGUCAUUGCGUCAAUAUAUCAAAUGUAUACAAGAUUUUCCGUAGAGCAAUUUUUUUUUUAUCUAGAAUUUCACUCCAACAAAAAAAUACAGAAUUCAGAGUAUGACAAGCUUUUUAGUGAGUAGUCAUGCGCGUAUGUUUAUCACUUCAUGUAUAACAUCGAAGUCAAAUUAUGUACAGAAGUAAUUAGUACAUAAAGCGUAAGUCUUCUGUUUUGUAGCUAAUCUUCAACUAUGAAAUAGAACUCGUCACAAAAAAAAAAAAAAAAAAAAAAAAAAAAACUAUGAAAUAGAACCACGUGAUCAGCAAUUUGUUAAAAUAAAAUUACCCAAAUUUUUAUGUUUAGGGUUUCUGGGUGUUGGUUUUCAAGCUGCCUAAGUUUGACUAGGUGGAAGAAACCAGUAUACACAAAAAAGAAACUAUUUAAUUACGUCCUUGCUAUUACAUAACUUACAUUAGGAUUAAAAUACGUAACGUAAUUCACAAGUCUAUGUUUAACUACUAAUGUACUCUUACGAUAAUUAACCGGUGAUAUUAUUCAUAUACCAAAAAUCAACCAAUAAAUUUAAGUAGUUACAGUGACAAAUCAUUUUCAUCUUCUUUUUAUGCUUUAUGGAAAAGAUUCCAAUGAAUAUAAGGUCAAACUAUUAAGUAAUCCUUACUGAGCAGUAAUCAGCAUCUAGUAGAUUAAUCAGACUUGCAAAGUUGCAGUACAGUAAAGGCAUUGGAACUUCUUACUCUUGAUAUUCAGAAAAAAUAAAGCAUACUGUUGAUGCACAAAAUCAGUGAGGACUUUGGUAUAAUAGAAAGUGUUAAGUUUAUGACCUUCGUUAGAUUGCUCCGGUCACUAGUGUGGACAAGUAUGUAAAUGGAUAGGGACAGGGAAGCAAACACAAGAUGUACGUGGUUCACCCAGAUUGACUACGUCCACGUAGUAGAGGAGUUCUCAUUAAUUGUGAAAGGUUUACACAAGUACAUAGGUUCAAGCUCUCCUUUAGUGAGUACUAGUGAAUGAUUUAAUACAAAUGACAUUCAGAAAUAUUGUGAGAGAAUGAUCUCUAUUCAUAGAAGAGAGUUUCUAGUUUCAUUCUGACAUUGAUACGUGUCGUGUUGUGAUUGGCUUCUGAUGUCGACACGUGUCGCGCUGUGAUUGGCCUUCUGGUUGGAAGGAAACUCUUAUGGGUCCUUGACGGUAUAACGUUGACCGGUGCUCAGCUUUUGUUGAAAAUUGUAGUUACCCUCCAUUGAUGAAGCUUUUGUUGGCACCAUAAAUUGGUUUUGCUUCACACUUUCUUGAUCAAGAGUGUGUGAAGCUUUUGAGAAUUGUGGUUGAACUUCUUUGAUGAAGCUUUUGUUGGCACCAUAAAUUGGUUUUGCUUCACACUGUCUUGAUCAAGAGUGUGUGAAGCUUUUAAGAAUUGUGGUUGCACUCUAUUGAUGAAGCUCUUGUUGGCACCAUAAAUUGGUUUUGCUUCACACUGUUUUGAUCAAGAGUGUGUGAAGCUUUUGAGAAUUGUGGUUGAACUCCUUUGAUGAAGCUUUUGUUGGCACCAUAAAUUGAUUUUGUUUUACAUUGUCUUGAUUAAGAGUGUGUGAAGCUUUUGAGAAUUGUGGUUGCCCUCCAUUGAUGAAGCUCUUGUUGGCACCAUAAAUUGGUUUUGCUUCACACUGUCUUGAUCAAGAGUGUGAAGCUUUCUACGAGUUGUAGUGUUUGCAUUGUUACAGAGGGAAAAUGUCUGAAGUAGAUGCAAGAGGGCUGAAUAGCUUGAUCUUCGUACACCAUGCACUGAAGUUGUUGUUGGCUUGCAAUAAGACUUUGUUGGUGACUAUAACUCUUGUUGGGAAUAAGUGUUCUCCUAGUUGAGUUGUCAAGCUUAAGGGUUUUUGAUUAUUUGUGAAUGCUAGGAGUUCACAUGUACAAGUUGUACCACUCGUCUUCUGGUAGGUGGAAUGAAUGGUGAGUUGCUUUCAUCACUUGGUUGGUGGUACGAAGGUGAGUUCUUUCAUCACCUUUCAUCACCUGGUUGGUGGCAUGAAUGGCAAGUUGCCAAAUAAUAUUAGAGUAUGGGUUGUACAUUUCAUCACCUGGUUGGUGGCAUGAAAGAGAGUACGGGUUAUACACAUCACCUGGUUGGUGGCAUGAUGAUGAGUUCCUUCUUCACUUGGUUGGUGGCAUGAGUGACAAGUUGUCAAAUGAUAUUAGAGUACUGGUUGUACAUUUCAUCACCUGGUUUGUGGCAUGAAGGAGAGUACGGGUUGUACAUUUCAUCACCUAGUUGGUGGCAUGAGUGGCAAGUUGCCAAAUGAUAUUAGAGUACGGGUUGUACAUUUCAUCACAUGGUUGGUGGCAUGAAGAAGAGUACGAGUUGUACAUUUCAUCACCUGGUUGGUGGCACGAAGAUGAGCUCAUUCUUCACCUGGUUGGUGGCAUGAAUGGCAAGUUGCCAAAUGAUAUUAGAGUACGGGUUGUAUAUUUCAUCACCUGGUUGGUGGCAUGAAGAAGAGUACGGGUUGUACAUUUCAUCACCUGGUUGGUGGCAUGAAGAUGAGUUUCUUCUUCACCUGGUUGGUGACAUGAGUGGCAAGUUGCCAAAUGAUAUUAGAGUACGGGUUGUACAUUUCAUCAUCUGGUUGGUGGCAUGAAGGAGAGUACGAGUUGUACAUUUCAUCACCUGGUUGGUGGCAUGAAGAUGAGUUCCUUCUUCACAUUUCAUCACCUGGUUGGUGAGAAUAAGGGUAAGGUGUCAAGGCACAUUGUAGCAAGUGUCAAAGACACAAAGUAUGUUGAACCCUUUCGAAGCACAGUUGGCUUAUGUAUGGAUGUGUUGGAAUGUAUGAUGUUUAUGUUGAAUGUAUGUAUGAUGUAUAUGUAUGGAAUGUAUGAUGUUUAUGUAUGAAUGUGUUGGAAUGUAUAAUGUUUAUGUCGAUUGAUAUGAGUGAUGCUUAUGAAUGUUUUGCUAUGCAUGAAGGGAUCCAUGCUUUUGAUAUGUGAGCCAUGUUGGUUGUAACACUUAGUAUCACAUACUUUAUGUUAAAGUAUGCAUGUUGAAGCUCUGAGUUGGAGUAUAAGGGUAGGUCAGCGUAGACCAAGUGUUUUAGUGCUAGGAAUGCAAAAGACUCAGAAGAAGUUGUCUGAAUUCCCUCUUCUUUAAAUAUUUGCCGAAUAGCUUGUGUGACAAAAGAUCUCAAGCGGUUGAGAGUCAAAACAUUUGUAAUGUGUAUGCCUUCUUAUAAUAGCAUUUCCUUCAGUACCUAGUCCUCCACUUUGAAAGAGUGAGGCUUGGCCCCAUAGUCAUAAUAGUCGAUUGUACGUUCACCCCUGGUUAUCUUGAUACGAACUUUUAUCCCUCUUGUUGUAAUGGGCUUGCUAAGAAUAAACAUCCUUCCUCUUACCAAGAGACAUAUAUGUUUGGUGACUUAACAAGUAGCUAAAUGAGGCAUGAGAUGAUGCAAUAGGUGUCUGAAUGGCCAAUAUCUCCUCACUUGGUAGAACUUGACUUCCACUUCCCAUUUAUUGAUAGGGGUUAACCAUAUCGGGGUUCCCUUGGUAUGUCCUUACUUCGGCGGAGGCAUGGUUGUAAGCAUGUGCCAUCACCUUAGAGUAAGUCUUCCAAGUGUUGGCAUUGAUCAUGUACUUGAAGAAACAAUCAUGUAGGCCUGCCGUGAAGGCCUUGAGGGCGGUCUUGUCAUCUGCCUCAGCGCAGUGAGAAUACUCAUGGCUGAAGCGACCGGCAUACUCUCGUAGUGACUCGUCCGGCUUCUGACGAAUAGUAUACAAGUCAUCUGCAUAAUACAAGUGAUCGGUCUGGAAGAUCUGUUGAGAGACAAACAAUUUCCUCAAUUCCUCAAAUGAGUCUACUGUCUUAGGUGGAAAACGACAAUACCAGUUUAGAGCUUCGCCAGAGAGGGUGGAGGGGAAGAGAAGCCAUCGCUCUUCGUCGGUGUGCAUCCGAUAUGCCAUGGUAGACUUAAAGAGGUUAAGGUGUUCAAUUGGGUCCUCAUUUCCAGUAUAGAGUUGUAGUCCAAGCUUUUGUUUUGUCUUCGCUUGAAGAGGGGUGUCGAGGAUCCUUCUUGUGAGAGGGCCAGGCCUGGGUUGGUUCCAGUCAGGUAUCCCGGCCUGAUGUUCAGCCUUCAACUUGUUUACUUCCUAAAGGAGCUGUAGGACAAGGGGGUCCUAAGUGGAGUCAUGUAUCACUGAAAUUUUCUUUUGUAAGUUUCCAUCGCCUCUUGGAAGUAGGAAAGUUUGAGCAAGGGCGUGUGUUUUUUUCUUGGACUCGUUGUACUGACUUCUAGGGCGAGUCUGUCGGAAUACCUCAGAGUCCCCCGUACCUUCAUGUUCUUUUGAGACCUAUCGUUCCUUCCUUAGAUUGGUAGCUGGCCUGGGUCUUGGGAGGGGACUGAGUAUUUCAGAAACCCUUGGGUCAUUGAUCUUCGAUCAUAUGUGGAUGAGAUUCUCUCGAUGUUGCUUUAGGAAGUCUCGGCAAUCACGAUAAACGGCUUUCGAUCAUUCCAACCCUUCUGCAAGGAGGUGUCUUCCUCCACUUCUUCUACUUCGGGUCGAAGCAUUUGGGUUGAGAGAAGUCUCAUGUUGAUCAAUGUUUUGAUGAUUAGCUCGCUCCUCAUCAGGGACACCCAUGUUGAAGGAAGGUGACCCUCCGUGUUGGGGGGCACCCAGAUGAUGGUUGAUGUCCACAUGGGCAAUAAGCUCGCGUGUUUGAGUACGCCUAGUUUCGUGGAGCGUCUCAAAGAGCUUCUCAUACUGCUCGUGGAGGACCUCAUUCUUCAUUGCUAUCUUGUUGUUCUGAGCUUCUAGCUCAUCGACUUUAGCUUGAAGAGCAACCCUCUUUCCUUCCUUUUUUCGUUGCUUCGCACUAGGUGCAAGAAGGGUGUCAUUCUGUGUGCUGUGGCUUCCUUCACUCCCUAUGUUGGAGAGGGAUGUCUGGUCAAAAGAGAGUGUACGAAUGGUGGAAACCAGCUUGGCAAAGUUGAAGAGAGUGGGAAUAAGUGUCGUUCCCAUAGACGAUGCCAAAUGUUGAUGCACAAAAUCAGUGAGGACUUUGGUACAACAGAAAGUGUUAAGUUUAUGACCUUCGUUAGAUUGCUUCGGUCACUAGUGUGGACAAGUAUGUAAAUGGAUAGGGACAGGGAAGCAAACACAAGAUGUACGUGGUUCACCCAGAUUAGCUACGUCCACGGAGUAGAUGAGUUCUCAUUAAUUGUGAAGGGUUUACACAAGUACAUAGGUUCAAGCUCUCCUUUAGUGAGUACUAGUGAAUGAUUUAGUACAAAUGACAUUUGGAAAUAUUCUGAUGUCGACACGUGUCGUGCUGUAAUUGGCCUUCUGAUUGGAAGGAAACUCUUCUGGGUCCUUGAUGGUAUAACGUUGACCAGUACUCAAUAGUUUCGGGAUUGGUCAAGUAUGGUACAAACACAAACCUUUUAUUUAUAUGAGUAAAACAGAACGAAAUAUACCUGUUAUCUCUCAAGCAAUUCUCAACCAUAGGAGCCUGCUUAGAGAGCUUUUCUGCUUGCACAAAUUCAGCAUUCCACAAUGCAGCUGGAUCCUUUGGGAUGCAAGCUUGCACACUAUAAACCCCGACCGAGCAGUUGCCAUCAAAUUCUUCUUUUGCUUCUGCAUAUAAUUUGACAGACAUGAAUUCCAUAAUAUUUCCACUUCCCGGAUGUGUAAUGAUGAGACAAGCUAAGUCUGAAUGUUGACAAAAAGAUGAUGAGACGGACCAAGAAGCUAAGUCUGAAUGUCUGACAAAAAGAUGAUGAGACGGACCAAGAAAAAGCAUGAACAAUUAUCUUAGAUUUCAACAAGCACACCUUAAAAAAUUAAAAAUUAAAAAUUAAAAAACUGAAACCAUUGUUACAUAGCUCAUGAAAGGAUGAAUACGCUCAAAAAUAUAAUAGCUUCCAUACUGUGUCAACCAUAACUCAUGUCCGCGUAAGUCUAUGUAUGUCAUCCUAUUGGGAAUCUAACCCUCCAAACUACUGCUCUCACUCUCUGUCAACAUGUUCUAUUGCAUCUAAUACAACCAGAAAAGACGCCAUUGACUUAAAUCAUCAUAUUCUAUCUAAAAGGAAUAUAAUUGGAUGCUCCCUACCCCUUUUCGAUUUUAGUUGAAAAUAUCACAAGCAAACAUACAUACUUUCUUACAAAUAAAUGUUACCUGCAAGUUUAGGCCCAGAAACAAGCCUUGUAUGGUAGCUCGAAGGAUCGCUCUUCAACCAGCCAGCCAAAACAUACACCAAUUCGAACCCAUUUCCAUGAUUUUCAACAAACUCCUGGAGUAACCUAUACAAAACAACUUUCAAUCACCUGUAAACAAAAAAUGCAACCCGGGAAAUAUUGAAAGACAGUUCCUAUACCUCUUUGCAGCAUUGGAAGACACAAAGUAAUUUCGACUCAGCCACUUGUACGAAACCUAUAGCACAGUUGAGCACCGGAAGAAACUUACUUUAGACAAUAUUAUGAAUUCAUAUGAGGUUAAACACAUCUCAACUCAAAUUCCCACCAAGAAAUUUCGUUUUGUCAACGAAACACAGAAGUAACAAUUCAGUAUCAACGCUUGACUGAGAGCGGUUUCCAAGCUUAUUGCAUUCCUGAACCUAACCCAUCAUUAAAUCCCUAAAAAAUUACAUCUUUUUUAUGAAUACAAAAACCCUUUUAACAAUAAACUAAAGAACAUAAACUCUUUCAGCUUGGUAAUUAAGGCAAGUAAAAGAUUUGUCUCACUACAUAACAAGAAAGCAGUAAAAUUUUGUUCAACCCGUGUUAUUCCUGUGUAAAAUGCUCUAAUGGUAAAUCGUUUAGUUCACACUUCUGGGCAAGAACUCACUCUUGGCUCCUAUCCCCAUUGAAUGGAAGAAGAUUUAACAAAUAACACGUGAUGUAAUUUGAAACUUGUCCCCCCAAAAGGUUUUCUCCUAAAAAACGAAGUUAAAAAAAAAAAACUGUGAGAAUAUAAGUUCAAGCAACACUUUUUCCUCUUCUAUCAUAAAGAAUCAAACGAUGAAAUCCUAAUUCAUUAUCCCGCUCUCCCUCUCUCACCACCUGGGCUAACCGGGGUGUGUGUGUGUGUGACCGAGGCAUAGUUGUGUGACUGAGUGAUACAGCGAAACUAGUUAUAGCCAGUAAACUCACAAGUGCGUAUCAGAGAUGAACCUAAUUCAUGUGAUGAAGCUGCAAUUCUACUGUGUUAUGUUAUGUGACACAAGUAAACACUAAUUAAGUUCGCACAGAAACUUCCAUAACUUCUCUGGAUUCCAAUGUCUAGCUGUAGUGCAGAGUAUCGUGCAAUUCUACUGGCUCCUGUUCCGGGUACACGGAAACAUCUCUCAUGUACCAGGAACUUGGAAAAAAUUCUAACUUGGGAUACAAGCAAUAUUCUUGUUGCAACUUUAUAUAUACACCGGACUGCCGAGUAGUGAUUAUUUAAUAAAUAAUCUGAUACAUAAUCUGGUGACAUGUAAAUUACAAACAGGUUUUACACUCAUGAGAGUGCUAAGGUCCUGUAAAUACAAUGUUUACAUUUCAUUUCCAUUGUCUAUACAGUUUCGACGCAUACGUUUAAUUUACAAAUGAGCGAGUGAAGGUUGCGUAAAGAUGUAAACUUCGUCGAAUCCCCUCCUGCAAUCGGAAAGCGUAGGACAACCAAGUUAAUAAAUCCAUGCAUAAAUCCAAAAUAAUAAUGCAGUUUGAAGUUCAGUUUUUGGUUUACCCAGCCUUCCCACAAAAAGUGGGACUGUAGUUGUAGAUGAGAUUGUCAAGGACUUCCCGGACAGGCGGUCUGUUUAAUGACUUCCUUGCCUCACUGCAUCACAAAUUCAAAAUUAGACUAAGUUUUGGGUCCGCAAUCAUUCCGGUUGAAUAAACUUAAGUGAAUUUUAAAGUUGUAGAUGCAUAUCCUGAAUUCUGAAAUAUGACACCGUGAAAAGUUGUUAAUACAGUAGAACCUCGAUAAUUGAAUAAACAAAUAAUGCGGUUAUCUGAAGACUCUAAACCUUAAAUUUUCCAUUUUUUUUUUCUACCUCUGCCCUCCAGACAAAGUUGAAACGCACAGCGGUUUACUUAGAACUAAAAGACAGAUACAGAAGGAGCCCUAACCUGACCAAGAAGUUUGCAGCGUGCUGGGUCACUUGAAUAGCAUCCUCUGAGUGCGGAAUCAUUGGUAAGCCCCAUUCGAAAGCAUUUUUCUGCAUCUUAAUUAGUUAGUCUUCUCAUACUUGAAACAAAUCCGUCGGAAUAAUCUAAUAAGUCCAGAUUUUCUCAAAGGUCUUUUGCUUUUCCCAAUUCUUCGUUAUGCAAAAUUGUACAGGUUCCACGGUUAUAAUUAUUGAAAAUCUUUCUUAAGAACACAAAUAUAGUAAUAUUGGAAGUGUCUUAAGUAGAACUAAUUAGUGUUUUAUGUGCCAAUCUUUCAUACAAAGAUGGUACGAAGAGCAAACUUUGAUAAUUACACAAUAGUAGCCUCUCCUCCACAAGGUUGUGAAUACAUCUUACGUAGAAAUCCUUGCAGAUGCAUAUUCAAAUAUAAAGAGCCUCG